rnacentral:rRNA from 1 species
UGGGGAAUAUUGGACAAUGGGCGCAAGCCUGAUCCAGCCAUGCCGCGUGAGUGAUGAAGGCCUUAGGGUUGUAAAGCUCUUUCGCCGGUGAAGAUAAUGACGGUAACCGGAGAAGAAGCCCCGGCUAACUUCGUGCCAGCAGCCGCGGUAAUACGAAGGGGGCUAGCGUUGCUCGGAAUCACUGGGCGUAAAGCGCACGUAGGCGGAUCGUUAAGUCAGGGGUGAAAUCCUGGAGCUCAACUCCAGAACUGCCCUUGAUACUGGCGAUCUCGAGUUCGAGAGAGGUUGGUGGAACUCCGAGUGUAGAGGUGAAAUUCGUAGAUAUUCGGAAGAACACCAGUGGCGAAGGCGGCCAACUGGCUCGAUACUGACGCUGAGGUGCGAAAGCGUGGGGAGCAAAACAGGAUUAGAUACCCUGGUAGUCCACGCCGUAAAACGAUGGAUGCUAGCCGUUGGGGGGUUUACCUCUCAGUGGCGCAGCUAACGCCUUAAGCAUCCCGCCUGGGGAGUACGGUCGCAAGAUUAAAACUCAAAUGAAUUGACGGGGUCAUAGCUGUUUCCU